rnacentral:tRNA from 2 species
GCCCGGGUGUUGGAACUGGUAGACAAGCACGUUUGAGGGGCGUGUGCCGUAAGGCGUAGGGGUUCAAGUCCCCUUCCGGGUA